AGAGCAUAGCAGAGAAGAGCAAAAGGUGAUGCAAAAGGAGAGCAGGAUAUUAUAGAUGUGUUGCUUUCUGUGCUUGAUGGUGCAGAUCUUGGCGGUUUUGAUGCUGAUACGAUCAACAAGGCCACAAGCUUGUGAAAUGACUUCCUUACCCUCCGAGGCCACGCAUUUAUCCUCUCCGUCUUCUGGAUUUGCCCGCCUUGCCCACGCGUCGAUCAUCAGUAAAAAGUUAUGCUUUGACAUUUUCUGCACUUUUCCUUCCGUAUUCACUUUUCUCUCUCACAAAAGUCUGUUUCUAUCGCUCUCAAAUCUCGACUUCUCUCUGCGUCUCUCACUCAUCUCUCAGCUGUCUCUCUCACUCUUGAGGUACCCUGCCACUGGAUGUCGUUUGCCGUUGCCGAUCUGCAAGUAAAGCUUCAAUUUCCAUAUUAAGGGUGAUUUGUUACCUCCAAGGUCCACCGUCGUUUAUUGGUCACUGUGCUUUUCGUUUUUUGGGGCUUCUGUAUACAAGCUUGGAAGCCAAUUAUGUUCAAGGUUAUGGAUGCAUGAUUGGUUGCUGGUUGAUGUGAUUUCUCCCCAUCGCAUCGCGUCCAGAAGAUCAGGUGCUCACCUCACAUGGCUUCAUUGGAGAAGUGAUGGUUUUGCUUAAGUGUUUUAGAUAAUCUGAAAAAAUAUGUAGAUACUAUGAUUUGGGGUUGCUUCCUUAAACCGUGAUAAAGCAGUCCAUGUAAUUUUAGCAUGGUAUCAUUUUUUAUCUAAUGCAUGAGUAUAAGAAAUGUUAAGACAUAGUAUAUUGGGAAACACCAUGUGAUUUAAAAUGCAAAGAGAAACAAUGAACCAUGUUUUAUAUUUUGUUCGUAUUGGUUGAUUUAAAUUUGGGAACUUUUGA